AAUGCGGCGACGCAAAGCGGAACUUGAAAGCCUGUCUCAGUUCGGAUUGGAGUCUGCAACUCGACUCCAUGAAGCUGGAUUCGCUAGUAAUCGCGCAUCAGCCAUGGCGCGGUGAAUACGUUCCCGGGCCUUGUACACACCGCCCGUCAAGCCAUGGAAGCCGGGAGUGCCUGAAGUGUGCAACCGCAACGGAGCGCCCUAAGGUAAAACUGGUGACCUGGGCUAAGUCGUAACAAGGUAUC
rnacentral:rRNA from 1 species